UUCGAAAAUGAAAACAUGGAUUAGGGCUUUCCGACUCUUCUUACCAUGAUCUCAAUCUGCCUGAUAAACUGUAUUAAUCAUAUUUUCUGAAGAUUCGACGCUAAAGUGGGUUGGUAUACGCCUAGAUUAGCACUAUAUUUCUGCGCGGAAAGAGUUCUUAUAUACUUUUCAUCUAUCGGUAGGUGACGAUUGUUAAUAUUUUAUUUUUUAUUCGAAUUGUGAAAUUAACCUGGUAUUCAAUGCAUGUUACGGUUGAGUUUUUGUAUUUUUUGUUGUUUUCGAUGUAAAUUAACAUAAUGCCAUUUAUUUUUAGGCGAGGUAAUGUUCUGUAGGACCCACGUUCAAUUUCUAACUGAUAUUUUGGGGUAACCCUUAAAAAAAAUCGUUGCUGGUGUUUUUUGAUAGUUAUGUUGGGGUAAAAAUUCGAAACCACUUAAUAUCAUCCCACUUUUGCGUAAACUAUAUCUGUGAUCCUGGUGUUUUGUCUUAUCCGUGGAACAACCAAGGAUUUUAAUGAACAUUUAUAUGUGAAAUUCAAAGUAUAUACUCUUACUAUACUGUGUGUUUUUUUUCAUUAAUUUUUAAAUGUUUUUUGAAAUUUAGAUGAAGAUGACGGACGAACUAAAGACAGAUGCGUCAAAGCAUGAUGGGAAAAUUCUAAAAAAUCUCUAAUGAACAUUUGUUUGAUUUUUGGACAUCAUUUUGGUUGACUAUGUAAUUUUUACUGUUUAUACAGUCACAGGUAAGGAUCCACGCAAAGAAUGGACGAAAUCAGAUAAGGAAAUAGAGAUAGAAUGCGAAAUUUUAGGUAAGUGUGAACAUAAGCUAUUUAACACUAAACAUAUAUAAUUAUAAUUGUGUGGCAUACAUGAUUUUGACUGAAAUCAAUUGUCAAUGUUUAUAUUCAUUGGUUCUGUUAAAGACGGGAACACUAAUUAUGGCAUUUAAUAUUUUCACGAUGCAGACGAAGUAUCCACAACACAGCCGGUGAAGAGAGUGACAAGGUCAUCCGUUAAGAUUGAAUCAAGUAAAAAUAAAGGUACUUAAUUGAUUGUAGCAACUAUUAUGUGUUACCAUGAUAGUGUGCUAUGUUAUUAAUAUCAAACUAUACUGCUUAUUUGUUUAAAUAGACAUCAAUGAAGAAGAAGCCGACUUCAACAAUGUUGUGAAUAAGAAAAAGGGGAAGGAACUUCAUGGUAAAUUUUCUUUGAACUUGUUUUAAUGAAUAACCACUAUACUGAUUAUCCAUUAUCUAUAUUUUAAUGAAUGAACAUUUCCUACAUAAAUAAAUAUUGAAAUGUAAAUUAAUUUUUUUUAGUUAAUAUAUAUAUAUACAUAUAUAUAUAUAUAUUUAUGUUUAUAUUAAAGGAGUUGAUUUUUUUUAAACAGAUCUGGAAGAAAAAGAAGAUGAUACGAUUGAUCCGGUAGAAAAGGAAAAGGGGACGGAACAUGAAGGUAAAAUGUAUAUGUUUAAAAUUAUUUUAACUUAUUUUUUUUUUAAAUGAAUAAACAUUCACACAUGAAAUAUAUAUCGAAGUUUAACUUCAAUAUGUUUUAUUGUCAUAUAUGUGAUUCCAUUAUUGAAGGGUUUGACUGUGUAUUUAAAUAGCACCCAACAAAAAGUCACAUGGAUGCACCAAGGUGUUAGAUAAAGGAAUUGAGAGUGAACAACAAGGUAAAUAAUGGUUAUACGUUAUUAUACCUUACCAAUUAUACCUACCUAAAUAUAUAUUGAAGUUAAAAUUCAAUAUGUUCUAUUAGUAUAUUUAUGUAUGUAUUUAUAAUAUGUCAUGCCUUUUUUACUAAAAAUUAGAACCCGAAAAAAAGGAGACGAUACCAACAAGUUGGUAGAAAAAGAGAAGGGGGCGCAACAUGAAGGCAAAUAUCUUUUGAACUUAUUAUACCUCGGAAAAUAUAUAUUGAAUUUGAAUUUCACUAUUUUGCAUUAGCAUAUAUAUGUACGUAUGUGUAAAUUUAACUUUUAAAAAAAAAAAUUAGAACCAAAUGAAGAAGAAGAAGACAACAGUAAAUUGGAAAAAAAAUAAAGGGAAAGGAACAUCAAGGUAAGUAUGUUUUUAACUCAGAAUACGUUUUUUAUUUGUUUAUAAUGAACAAACAUUCGUACAUAACCAUUUAUAGAACUUAAAAUUCAUUAUGUUGUACUGUUAUAUAUAUUUCUCUAUACACUGAAGGGGCUGAUCUUUGUUUUAAAAUAGUACCAAGUGGAAAAGAAGACGAAUCAAGCAAGGUGGUAAAAAAAAGAAAGGUGAAGGAGCGUCAAGGUAAUUCCAUUUAUAUAGACACUAAAACUCAAUACAUUGCGAUAUUUUGAAAAGACAAUAUUAAUGAACGGACGUUGAUAUGCUUAGAAUCUAGAGUUAAUGUUUGCAAAUAUAAAUGUAUAUGCUUUUUUUUAAACUGUCCAUUUCAGUGGAACCAUGAAUAAGAACAAGGGGAGCGAAGAGGGCAAGGCUGUCGUCCAAAGAAAAAAUCACUAAAUCUGUAGGUAUCCUAUGGUUGUUCAAUAAUAUGACCUAUUUGUAUAUUUUUAUAUGCUCUGCAUGUAAUGAAUGUUGACAACAAUGUUAUGAUAAUUAAGUGUCAAGAUUAAAGCUGAGGGUCCUAGCGUAAAGGUUGAAGACCGUAAACGGAGGACAUAUCGAUGUACUAAAUUUUAUUCAUUUUUUUACCUCUGUAAUUUUUUGGGUAAAUAACAUUUGUCAAACAUUUUAUUUUUAUUUCCCCAGCUACUGGGAAGAAGAUUGUUUCGCAUGGUGUCGAUCCUGAAAGUGAGAAUGUACGAGCCGAUGGUGAAGAAAAA
rnacentral:lncRNA from 1 species